GUUGUCAUACCUGCCACUUUUUUUAUAACCUCAAGAUUCUUAUCCUCGUGUAUCAUGUGUCGUGUCACCCACGUCUCUGGGAGAAAGCAAUAAAUAGGUCACUAAAGUAUCGCCCACAACGAAUCAUCGUCCAUUGCUAUGGCUAAGCUCUCUCUCUCCUCUGUCUUCUUCGUUUUCCCUCUCUUCCUCUGUUCCUUCUCGUCGUUAUCUUCUUGGGAUGGCUUAGAAUCUUACAUCGUUCAUGUGCAGAGUUCUCAUAAGCCUUCUCUCUUCUCCUCCCACGACCAUUGGCACAACUCUCUCCUCCGCUCUCUACCGUCCUCUCCACAACCCGCGACGCUCCUAUACUCUUACUCACGCGCCGUUCAAGGCUUCUCUGCUCGUCUCUCACCUACACAGACCGCCGAUCUUCGCCGUCAUCCUUCCGUUAUCUCCGUUAUACCAGAUCAAGCGCGUGAGAUUCACACCACUCAUACACCUGCCUUCCUCGGUUUCUCAGAUAACUCCGGUCUCUGGAGCAACUCCAAUUACGGCGAAGACGUGAUCGUCGGCGUUCUCGACACCGGAAUCUGGCCGGAGCAUCCGAGUUUCUCCGAUUCAGGUCUCGAUCCCGUUCCAUCUACGUGGAAAGGCGCGUGCGAGACAGGACCUGACUUUCCCGCUUCGUCUUGCAACCGGAAGCUCAUCGGAGCUCGAGCGUUCUACAAGGGAUACUUGACGCAUCGUAAUGGGACGGUGAGGGCAGCGAAGGAAUCGCGAUCGCCGCGGGAUACGGAAGGUCAUGGCACGCACACGGCAUCUACUGCAGCAGGAUCGGUGGUGGCGAACGCGAGCUUGUAUCAAUACGCGCGAGGAGUGGCGCGUGGGAUGGCGUCGAAGGCGAGAAUCGCAGUUAUAAAAUCUGUUGGACAGGUGGAUGUUACGAUUCCGAUAUUCUCGCUGCUAUGGAUCAGGCCGUUGCUGACGGUGUUCACGUGAUCUCUCUUUCUGUUGGUGCUAACGGUUACGCUCCGGAGUACCAUAUGGACUCAAUCGCGAUCGGAGCGUUUGGAGCCACGCGUCAUGGUAUCGUCGUUUCCUGCUCCGCUGGAAACUCUGGUCCUGGUCCUCAAACCGCUACUAACAUCGCUCCUUGGAUCUUAACCGUCGGUGCGUCAACGACCGAUAGAGAGUUCUCCGCAAACGCAAUCACCGGCGACGGGAAAGUCUUCACCGGAACGUCGCUCUACGCCGGCGAGCCUCUACCUGAUUCUCAGCUUUCUCUUGUAUAUUCCGGCGACUGCGGAAGCAGAUUGUGCUACCCCGGGAAGCUGAACGCGUCCUUGGUGGAAGGGAAGAUCGUUCUCUGUGACAGAGGAGGUAACGCCAGAGUUGAGAAAGGAAGCGCCGUCAAGAUCGCCGGCGGAGCAGGGAUGAUUCUCGCGAACAUAGCUGAAAGCGGCGAAGAGCUCACCGCCGAUUCGCAUCUCGUCCCGGCUACGAUGGUCGGAGCUAACGCUGGAGAUCAAAUCCGUGAGUACAUUCAAAAGUCUGUCUCUCCCACCGCAACAAUCAGCUUCUUAGGCACUUCGAUCGGACCUUCUCCUCCUUCUCCCAGAGUCGCGGCCUUCUCCAGCCGUGGACCAAAUCAUAUAACUCCGGUUAUCCUUAAACCGGAUGUGAUUGCGCCAGGAGUUAAUAUAUUAGCCGGUUGGACCGGAAUGGUUGGUCCAACCGAUUUGGAUAUCGAUCCGAGACGGGUCCAAUUCAAUAUAAUCUCCGGUACAUCGAUGUCGUGCCCACACGUGAGCGGACUCGCCGCUCUCCUCCGUAAAGCUCAUCCCGAUUGGUCACCGGCGGCGAUCAAAUCCGCCCUCGUUACAACCGCUUACGAUACAGAAAACUCCGGCGAACCAAUCGAGGAUCUCGCCACCGGUAAGCCGUCGAACUCAUUCAUCCACGGAGCUGGACACGUGGAUCCGAACAAGGCGUUGAACCCUGGGUUGGUUUACGACAUCGACGUCAAAGACUACGUGGCCUUCCUCUGCGCCGUGGGAUACGAGUUUCCGGGGAUUCUAGUUUUCCUUCAAGAUCCAACUCUUUACAACGCCUGCGAGACGAGCAAGCUAAAAACCUCCGGCGAUCUCAAUUACCCGUCGUUCUCCGUCGUUUUCGGAUCGACCGUCGAUGUUGUGAAGUACAGAAGGGUUGUUAAGAACGUUGGAACCAACGUUGACGCGGUGUACGAAGUCGGGGUUAAGUCUCCGGCGAAUGUGGAGAUCGAUGUGUCUCCGAGGAAGCUUGCGUUUAGCAAGGGGGAAGGCGAGUUGGAAUACGAAGUGACGUUUCGGAGCGUUGUGCUCGGCGGCGGAGUUGGAUCCGUACCGGGUCAUGAAUUCGGGUCGAUCGAAUGGACAGACGGUGAACACGUCGUGAAGAGCCCGGUGGCUGUUCAGUGGGGUCAGGGAUCAGUUCAGUCAUUCUGAUUGAUGAGUAUUGGGUUUAUUAAUGGGCCUAGUAGUAAAUGGGCCGAUAUAUUUACUCAUUGUUGUUAGGACCAUUAAGCAUGGGAGUAAAUGAUCAGAAACUUCGAUUUGCAUUUGUAAAAUUAGUUACGUCUUUAUUUCA